rnacentral:lncRNA from 1 species
AAAUCAAGUCCGCGGGGCAUGGAGGCUGCUGUCGCUGCAGCAGCUCAGCUUGCCCGGGGCGGGAACUCCCCCUUUCUCCUUUCGCCUCCCCAGCACCCACACCCUGUCUCCCCCUUAAUUCUUCCCUGGAUAAUAGCACCCUAACGACAACAGUCAUAAUAAUAGGGUUAGAACGACAGGGGAGGAAAACUCAACAGCCUAAAUAUCUCUGAAAACUGCAUCGCAAAAUGGAAGAAAGAGGGGGUCCCACUACUGUUUCAAAAGAGAUCGACAGAACUUGACUUAGAAAGCUGGCACACAGCUUCACGGAAGCAGCUUCUAGAGGAAUGCUAUCCAACAUAACUUUCUGUGAUGACAGAAAUGUACUACAGCUGCCUUGUCCAAUAAGGAGCCAUGGAAGUCAAAUGCUGAGGAUGGUGGCAUCAUAGGAUGAAUGGAGCUGGGUUCUUGAAACACUGCCUGGAGGAAAGACAGCAAAAAUGCCUCAUGAAUCCAACUGGACUGUUAGGAUGCUCACCCUUGGAGACCAGCAACAAUGUGUGCAGAAACCCAGGCCAUGUGGAGAGGCCCCACAUACGUGUCCAACUGAGGUCCCAGCUGACAGCUGGCAUUGACAUGUGAGUGAGACUCUGAACGUUCCAGCUGAUGACAAGUACAGUUUGAGCGAGCUAUCCCUGUUGGGCCUGUCAAAACUGCAGAUUUCAUGAAGAAAAUAAGUGUUGUUGACUUAAGCCAGUAAGUUUUGACAUACUAUGUUACACAGCCAUAGUAGCUGGAAGAGUGUGAAACAAAUACUAUUCUCUUGUGUCUCAUUUCUCUAUAAAGUAUAUCUUCCCCCUUCCUUGCAUAGGGAUUCUUUCUCCUUUUCUCUCAGACAGUUCUGCUAUUAUCCCUGCUAGUGAUGCUAUUACUACUUCAAAUACUAUUGUUUUUAUAUCUGUUGCUACUACUGAAAAUAAGAUAAUUUUAUAACUAAUGUUGAGUAUGCAUCUACUAUAUAGAUUUACAUCCUUAACAUGUAUUAAAUCACGUAAUUCUUACAUCAAAAGCAUGGAAUUGUAUCACCCCAAGAUUCAUAUGUUGAAGUCCUCACCUUUAGUAUUCACAAUGUGACCUGUUUGGAGAUAUGGUCUUUAAAGAUGUGAAAUGAAGCCAUUAAAGUAGUCCUUAAUCCAAUAUGACUGGUGUCCUUAUAAGAAGAGGAGAUAGGACACAGACACACACAGAAGCAAGAUCAGGCGAAGAUAUAGAGAAAAGAUGGUCAUCUACGAGCCAAGGAGAAAGGUCCUCAGAAUAAAUCAACCCUGUCGACACCUUGAUUUUGGCCUUCUAGCUUUCCAAAUAUGAGAAAACAAAUUUCUGUUGUUUAAGCCACAAAGUCUGUGGUACUUUGUUAUGGAAAACCUAGAAAACUAAUACAACUUUAUGAGUAAAGUACUAUUAAACUUUAGAUAAGGAAUCCACAAAAGAGAAAGCUGACACAUUGUAAAGGUAAGUAACUUGCCCGAAGUUAUACAGUUUUAUUUCCUUUCAGAAGUAAGAAAACAAGGGCUCAAUAACUUGACUUCCUGAAGUUUCACAGUCAGUUUAAAGAAAGAGUCAAAACUAAAAAAAUCAAACUCUACCCUAUAUUUACACCAUUUAGUAUCAGAGUCCUCAGAAAUAUGUCACUUAGUCCUGUUAGCUAAGUUAAGACAGGAUGGCAGCAUUACUGAGCACCAACUACUUACAUAGCACUUACAACCUCAGUUUUUCUUCCUAAUAGAACCUCAAUUUUGUUCAAGUGCCCUGUCUUCAUGUAGUCCAUGUGACUCCAAGGAAUACCCUCAGCUUCAGGAGUAACUCUGAUUGGGUUAAGGGUUAGCUCAUACCCCCUUGUCUGUGAUUCGUUUAUAAAAAGUCCUGUGACUCAGUUCUGGCCAAUGAUAUGUGAAGGGAGGUUCGUGGAAGACUUCUUGGAAAGUUCUGCCUUGCUCUAAAGAACAAGCUAUUCUCCCGCUCUCUCCCCAGAUUUGAAUGAAAGUGGAUGAAUCCACAAUUGUCCUCUGGUGGGAACCAGCCUUAAAAAUGAAGUCAACCAUGUGUAUAGCAAAGACAGGAAAUGUAGAGAACCUAAGUCCUAGGUAAUAACACUGGGGUACUGGAUCAACCAGCUUUUAUUAAAUUUCCUGUUAAAUGAGCUUAUAUAUUCCCUCAUUUUAAAAAGCCAGUUUAGCGUGUACUGAAAUCACUGAAAGUUAAUGGCUGCAAAAGCUUCCCAUUAGAGUUGACCCUUGAACAAGGUUGGGGUUAGGAGUGUAGACAUCCUGUGCAGCCAAAAAUCCACGUCUAACUUUUGACUCCUCCAAAACCUAACUAGUAGCAGCCAACUCUGGACCAGAAGCCUUCCUGAUAACAUAAACAGCUAAUUAUCACAUAUUUUAUAUAUUAUAUAUAUAUUAUACACUGUAUUCUAAAGUAACUGUAUUCUAAAGUAACCUAGAGAAAAGGAAAUGUUAUUAAGAAAAUCAUUACUAUUCAUUAAGAAGUGAAUCAUCAUAAAGGCCUUCAUCCUCUUCUCACUUUGAGUAGGAUGAGGAGGAAGAGGAGGGGGUGGUCUUGCUGUCUCAGGGGUGGCAGAGGUAGAAGAGGUGGAGGAGGUGGAAAGGGAGGCAAGAGGGACAGGUGCUUUUAUUGAAAAAAGUCCACAUGUAUGUGACCCAAACAGUUCAAAUCCAUGUUGUUCGAGGGUCAACUGUAGUUCCAAAUUUCUACAAUGGAGCAAAUGAUCUCUACCCUCUGUUCCCAUAGCAGCAAUAGCCAAGAUUGGCUUUAUCCCUUCUAGCUCUGUCUUCUUUAGGCUAUAAAUGGCCGAAUGGCUUCCUUCUCACAUGAAGGAUCAUAGGAUGAACUCUGUGCAAUCUCCCCAAACCAGUCCUGAAAUAGAAAAUGUUGGAAUCUCAGCAUUAAGGUGGUCCAUUCUGUACAACACAGCUUAAAUGAGGUUAUUUCACAGCAACCCUUGCAGCAGAAAGAGAACACGUGGCAUAUUCCUGGUUUCUUCAGUGAGUCAUAGGGCUGGAAAAGAGAUCAGGUUCUUCUUUUCUCUUGUCCAAGAUUGUUCUUUGCUUAUAUUUCUGAGAUUUACUGAAUGACGGUGAAAGUGAAAUUAGUUGGUGGUCUUAUCCAGGUAAUUAUAUUUCUAAACUACCAGGAGAAAUAGGCUUUGAGGCAUCAUUUAUAUAAUGCAAGCUUUUAAAUACCAAAUAUUUAUAUAGAGCCUUGGUUCUUAUGUUUUUAAAGUUUUUCUCUUAAUUAAUAUAAUUUUUACCUAUUAUCAACUCUGGGAGAUAACUGUAGCAGGUCUUGUCAAUUGCAUUAUACAAAUAAUUUUAGACAAGAGGAGUUAUUUACUUAAGUUGAUUGAAUCAAAACCUGAAUCUAAAACUCCUGACCCAACGUCCAGUGCUCUUUCCAAUUAUUUCUCCACUUGACCUCUUUCAUAUAUGAAAUUCACUUUAGCCUUAACAUUUUUUUAAAAUAAACUUUUUGAGAUAAUUGUAGAUUCACAUGAAUUUAUAAAAAAUGAUACAAAGGAAUCUUGUAUACCAAUUACCCAGUGUCCUCCAGUGGUGACAUCUUACAACACUGUAGUGUAAUAUCACAACAAGGAUAUUGAUAUUGAUGCAGCCAGGAUACAGAACAUUUCCAUCACCACAAGGAUCAUUCAUGCUAUACUUUUAUAGUCAAACCAACU